GUUCGGCCUACGCCUGCGG
rnacentral:misc_RNA from 1 species